GACGAACGCUGGCGGCGUGCUUAACACAUGCAAGUCGAGCGAUGAAGUUCCUUCGGGAACGGAUUAGCGGCGGACGGGUGAGUAACACGUGGGUAACCUGCCCCAUAGAGGGGAAUAGCCUUUCGAAAGGAAGAUUAAUACCGCAUAAGAUUGUAGUGCCGCAUGGCAUAGCAAUUAAAGGAGUAAUCCGCUAUGAGAUGGACCCGCGUCGCAUUAGCUAGUUGGUGAGGUAACGGCUCACCAAGGCGACGAUGCGUAGCCGACCUGAGAGGGUGAUCGGCCACAUUGGGACUGAGACACGGCCCAGACUCCUACGGGAGGCAGCAGUGGGGAAUAUUGCACAAUGGGGGAAACCCUGAUGCAGCAACGCCGCGUGAGUGAUGACGGUCUUCGGAUUGUAAAGCUCUGUCUUCAGGGACGAUAAUGACGGUACCUGAGGAGGAGGCCACGGCUAACUACGUGCCAGCCGCCGCCGUAACAC
rnacentral:rRNA from 1 species